GGAAAAAGCACCAUCCAAUUAUGCCUUCCAAUGGAAGUGUAGCCCCCAGGCUUCAAGCCCUCUCUGGCUUAAAGGUGUGGUUUCACCAGGGUCCUGCCCCUUCCCGCCUAGGAACCUGUUGCCUUCCAGUGUCAUCAACAUGCAGGCUAUAAACACACGGAUUUAUUUAAAAGCCUACAAGCACUACAGAGGAGGGCAGAGCGUUGUUACCCAGAGAUACCUACCCAGAUGGGAAUCAGAAAAGCCUUCCUUGAGGAAGCAGCAUUUUCAUCUUUGAACUAUUUUUAAAAAUUUAAUUUAAUUUUAAA